rnacentral:rRNA from 1 species
CGAGGACGAACGCUGGCGGCGUGCCUAACACAUGCAAGUCGAACGGAGUCAAGAAGCUUGCUUUUGACUUAGUGGCGGACGGGUGAGUAACGCGUGAGUAACCUGCCUCUGAGAGGGGAAUAACGUUCUGAAAAGAACGCUAAUACCGCAUAAUGUAUCGAAGCCGCAUGACUUUGAUACCAAAGAUUUUAUCGCUCGGAGAUGGACUCGCGUCCGAUUAGUUAGUUGGUGAGGUAACGGCUCACCAAGACCGCGAUCGGUAGCCGGACUGAGAGGUUGAUCGGCCACAUUGGGACUGAGACACGGCCCAGACUCCUACGGGAGGCAGCAGUGGGGGAUAUUGCGCAAUGGGGGCAACCCUGACGCCAGCAACGCCGCGUGAAGGAUGAAGGUUUUCGGAUUGUAAACUUCUUUUAUCAGGGACGAAGCUUGACGGUACCUGAUGAAUAAGCUCCGGCUAACUACGUGCCAGCAGCGGC